rnacentral:rRNA from 1 species
UACAGAGGGUGCGAGCGUUGUCCGGAAUCACUGGGCGUAAAGGGCGCGUAGGUGGCGACCCAAGUCUGUGGUGAAAGCUCGACGCUCAACGUCGAGUCGGCCAUAGAUACUGGGUUGCUGGAGCACUGUAGAGGCAGAUGGAAUUCCGGGUGUAGCGGUGGAAUGCGUAGAGAGUCCGGAAGAACACCGGUGGCGAAGGCGGUCUGCUGGGCAGUUGCUGACACUGAGGCGCGACAGCGUGGGAGCAAACAGGG